rnacentral:rRNA from 1 species
AGAGUUUGAUCAUGGCUCAGAACGAACGCUGGCAGCGUGGAUUAGGCAUGCAAGUCGAGCGAUCACCCGGUGUAGCAAUACAACGGGUGGGAGCGGCAGAAGGGCGAGGAACGCGUGGACAAUCUGUCCACUGGGUGGGGAUAACCCCGUGAAAACGGAGCUAAUACCGAAUGUGGCAUAGGAGCACAUGCUCUUAAUGUUAAAGGCUGGGACCGCAAGGCCAGCCCCCAGUUGAAGAGUCCGCGUACCAUCAGCUUGUUGGCGGGGUAACGGCCCACCAAGGCUUACGGUUAGCUGGUCUGAGAGGACGACCAGCCGCACUGGGACUGAGAUACUGCCCAGACUCCUACGGGAGGCUGCAGUCGAGGAUCAUUCGCAAUGGGGGCAACCCUGACGAUGCGACGCUGCGUGGAGGACGAAGGCCUUC